UCCACUUUUUAUGAGGCCCAGAAAAAGGAGGUGAAACACAAUUUUUGGCAUUAGGCCUUUUUUCCCCAGAUAAUUACAUGCGAAUGCUCUUUCCUCAAGGAAAAAAAGUACUGCCUCCUAUCAUGCUGGCCCAAGAACAGAGAGAAGUCUGUCAUCUAUCUGCAUAGAAAUGAUAGGAGCAUCCUAAUUCCUUUUGUAAGCUACUUCAAGAGUUCACAUCACAUGAUCGGCUGGAAUGCCAUUCUGUAGAAAAACAUCACAUUAAUGCUGAUAACAAGAUGUGGAGGACGUGUUAUGGGCAAUAGUUGGAGCACUGCAGCUGAUACAUUACACAUUACUAAAUAGGCGUUGGGACCCUGAGUAUUCUGUGAAUUUCACUGCCAGCUUCAUUUUGCAUUCUCAAAAUAUAAGCUGUGAGCCGCAUGUUCUGCCAUGUGUUAGGGACACAUUGUUUCAGUCAUUAUUUAAGUAAAUGGAGUUGUGUGCCAAAUCUAACUCCAUACCGAACCGAGUUGAUUGGUUGCUUAAGCGUAUAAGGCAUAGGGCCUCUUGACAACCUGACAAAAAAGCUGCAUGUUCCAGGUCAUGUGGUCUGCUAUGAAUGAAACAUGUAGCAAUCAUUCCUUUUGCAAAUUCUAUGCAAAGCCACAUUUUCAUUUACUGUAACGCGAAGACAGACGUUGUAGAUGACAUAUUUAUCGGUUCCAAAUAAGCGGUUUGUGGAAGAUGCGUAUACAGGAGUACACCAAUGCAGACUGCAGUGCAUUCAUUAGAGGCUAACUACCGUAGAGCUUGGAGCUCUCCACGGGCUGAAAAUGGAUGCCCUGUACAGAACGUGUAACGAACGGAGAAAUACCAAUCAUUCUGAACACUUUGUUUUGAAAUCUUCUGGACGAGUCCACAAUUGCCCGCGAAAGAAGCAACCGCUUUAACAAUUGCUAGCAUCCGUUUUACUGUCUACACACGCAAUUUAGUUGGUAUGCUUGCAUAUGCAUAAUGAAUAUAAGGCGUUCGUUGAUUUGCAGCAUCAGGAAUGCAUUUGGCCAUUUAAUUACAUAACUCGAUGUUUCUCAGGUCGCAAAUCUCAAAAUAACUCAUAUUGGAAGGAGAAGCGAAUUUUACGCUGAACGAAAAAUCUAGUUGAGCUUGCAUUUUGUCAUUGAUCGCACAGCCUACCACUCGUAACAUACUAAAUGUACACGUGAAUGAAUCCUCUCCCAGCUUGAAGGCGUUAAGAGGAGAAGCCUCCUGAAAUAAAUAAACGUUUGCUAUUUAAGGAAGUCUUACCAGUUCAGAUGGUAUUUCGGAAACCUUUCGAAGACCGUCGGACUCCUAAGAAGGAGAUGUGGAUAGAAAAGAAAUUGACAGGGUGGCCGUGAAACAACCGAAAUAUCGACAGAAUGACUGAGUGGAGAGUGUGUCGGUUCUGGCCAGAGACUCGUAUCCGCUUUGAAAUUAUAUCGUCAAGUCUUUACAUAAAUAUAAAUUACUCAUAUGGCGGUAUGGUUUAGAACCGAUAUACAGCGCACAUGCGGACACGUCACUGGAACACGAAUUUGUCUACAGUCCAUGUAGCCAAUGCGUGCGUAUCCUCAGUGAAAUGCUUGUCCCCCUCCCUAGCCGUUGCGCUCCCUGUCUGACUGUCCGUAUCUCAACCACUCUCACACGAGACAUCGACGUAAGCAACUUGUCGCAUCCCAACUCUUAAACGAUGCUAACGGAAAUCAUUACACACAGUGAUAUACCUAGCAGACACUGUGUGUUUGCUUCCUUAGAUGAAAAACAUUACCCUUCGUUCGCGCGUCAAACAUUCUCGGAAACCAAUCGUUCAGAGCAUGAUUACUGGAGCGUACACAAAUUGUGUGUGUGUGUGUGUGUGUGAGAGAGAGAGAGAGAGUGUGUGUGUGUGUGUGUUUGUGUGUCAGAGAGAGAGAGAGAGAGAAUGUGUAUGUGUAUUUCUGUUUGACAGCAAUGCACCGCACAGGUUAUUACUGUAAUCUUCAUCGUGGUUUCUUUCAACCGACUAAAGAUAUCAAGGAGGUUGCUCGGCUGUUUUUCUAAUGAAAUGCAGUGUUACCCUGUCAGGGCAAGAACUGUGGUAUUGGAGUUCCGCAGAGAGAAGGGGGGUGGAGAGAAGGAGAGAGAGAAUACAAGAAAUGGCAGGAAAACCUCAGAGAUGAAAGGUUGACACCGAAUGAUGCCUUUUUGACGCGUUUUCGUGUGUUAAGCUUCUCCCGCACCUCUUUUAUCUUCGUCCCCGUCUUUUCCACCCUGAACGUUUACCACAUCUGGACAUUCCUGUUGCCUAUCCUCUUUGACGUUGGCGUGUAGAUGCAAAGGGGCGCCUAGGGAUGUCGGAGGACCCAUGCAGUGGGGUAUUUGGUGAUUAGCUUAGGUUGGUCCGUUAGAGGCAAGAUUAGCAGG
ensembl:lncRNA